AGUGAACGCUGGCGAUAGGCCUAACACAUGCCAGUCGAACGGCAGCACAGUAAGAGCUUGCUCUUACGGGUGGCGAGUGGCGGGCGGGUGAGGAAUACAUCGGAAUCUACUUUUUCGUGGGGGAUAACGUAGGGAAACUUACGCUAAUACCGCAUACGACCUACGGGUGAAAGCAGGGGAUCUUCGGACCUUGCGCGAUUGAAUGAGCCGAUGUCGGAUUAGCUAGUUGGCGGGGUAAAGGCCCACCAAGGCGACGAUCUGUAGCUGGUCUGAGAGGAUGAUCAGCCACACUGGAACUGAGACACGGUCCAGACUCCUACGGGAGGCAGCAGUGGGGAAUAUUGGACAAUGGGCGCAAGCCUGAUCCAGCCAUACCGCGUGGGUGAAGAAGGCCUUCGGGUUGUAAAGCCCUUUUGUUGGGAAAGAAAAGCAGCAGGUUAAUACCCCGCUGUUCUGACGGUACCCAAAGAAUAAGCACCGGCUAACUUCGUG
rnacentral:rRNA from 1 species